UACGGGGGGGGCAAGCGUUGUUCGGAAUUACUGGGCGUAAAGGGCUCGUAGGCGGCCAACUAAGUCGGAUGUGAAAUCCCCAGGCUUAACCUGGGAACUGCAUCCGAUACUGGAUGGCUUGAAUUCGGGAGAGGGAUGCAGAAUUCCAGGUGUAGCGGUGAAAUGCGUAGAUAUCUGGAGGAAUACCGGUGGCGAAGGCGGCAUCCUGGACCGAGAUUGACGCUGAUGAGCGAAAGCUGAGGGGAGCAAACGGGG
rnacentral:rRNA from 1 species